GACAGCCGUGCGCCACCACACCCGGCUAAUUUUGUAUUAGUAGAGAUGGAGUUUCACCAUGUUGGCCAGGCUGGUCUCAGACUCCUGGGCUCAAGUAAUCUCCCCACCUCAGCCUCCCACAGGGCUGGCUGUCACUUGUUUUUAAGUUGUUAAACGUGCUCCCGGGAAGCUAAACUUAACACAGGACUGGUAGAGACACCACCUUCCUGUGGGUGGGGCUGCCUCCUACCUGGAGCAGCACUCACCUCCACCUGGCACUCCGUGAAAGGGGAGGGAGACUCUGUGGCUGCCAGAUGAGGGUGGCCCCUCUCCGUCUGUCCCCAGGCUGGGUCACCACCACUUUCUCCCUCUGCCAGGAGUAGAUGACUUUUCUGUUGCCGGGGGGAAGGGAGGUGCCUCCUGGUUCUGGAGAUUUGUCACUUCCUGGACACCACAUAGCUUGUGGAAAGCACUUUCUUAGGGUGCGCGUGGUGAUGAAGGCAGAGUGUCCUGUGUGAGAGGCUUCCUUCCUCCAGACUGUCUGCGGCAGAAGUGGGGUCAGGAACCUGCUGCCCAGCUUUCCUCCACAGGCUUGAUGUGUUUGAGCCAGAAGUAUGGGGCGUUUGCGGGGUCCUCCACAAGUACAAACAGGGUUCUGUCCCUUUUCAGGGGUCCCAGAGGAAAAGCACUCCUAUAGACUCUGAGCAGGGGCAGCUGCCACAUUCCGUUUGCUUCCUGAGCUUGUCUAGGUGAACAGAUUUCAGGUGGAAGGGCUCAUUGUCAUCCCCAAGCCAGGCCAGUUCUCCAGGUGGAACUGUAGUGUAGCGACCUCACUGCUGCGCGCACAGUCUCCCGGGACUUGGACUCGAGGGAGUGACGAGGAGGAGCUCCGAGCUGCGCCUGAGCCGUGCCAGCCGGCGGACCUCAGGCGGUGGACGUCGGCGAUAGCCGUGUGGACGGUGACCGGCUCACUCUGCGGCGCCGUGCUCCCGCUGCUCACCCAAAGAAGUUGUUUCCAUUUUAAACCGGUCUUUUGGGGCUGCAGUAAAAAAUAAGAAAUGGAGUUUUCUUGCUUUUUACUCUAAAAUUCAAUGUAAUUAAAUUUCAUAUAUAUAUAAUAUAUACAUAUAUACAUAGUGUAAAAUAAAAUGUUUCUUGGACAAGAAAUCCCCUGAAAUUCAGCUGUUAUAGUGCUUCACUGUUUUUGCACUGAUUUUUCUAUACCUUAGGUGGUCAGAAGACAACCUUGAAUGCACUCAUAGAGAAAACUGUUACUUUCUGACGUAAUGUAAUUCAGGAAGACAGACGCUGCAAUCACAGAUUUUAAAAAAUUGUUUGCACUUAAAAAUAGUUGAAUGCUGGUGGAAAGUUACUUUGCAGAUGGGUGUAAGGACUCAUGGCCCUCUGAGGUGCGGCGUGAAGAUGCCCUUUUUACCCGUUGACGUUUAUUUUACGUAAAAUAAACUGUUGUUUCCAAUGCAAUCAACUCUGUAUUAUAUGUAUAAAUAUUGUAAUUCUGCAAUUGGGGAAAAUAGUUACUUCACUAGUAAUUUUCAUCAUUUAAGAGUGAUAUUUCUAAUUCACAAAAGUUAAUAUUAAAACUAUCUUGAAUAUACCGCUUGUUUAUCUUCUGUUAAAUUGGCUUAGUUUGUCCUGUACAUUUGGGUUGAACUGGUUGGUAUGGAAUUGUUUUGUCUUUUUCACCCCAUGUUACUUGAAGCCCCCUCAC
rnacentral:lncRNA from 1 species